rnacentral:tRNA from 1 species
GUUGAUGUCGCUUAAAUAUUAAAGCAAGGCACUGAAAAUGCCUAGAUGAGCCCUGCAUAACUCCAUAAACAC